AAUCGAUUUGCCAGUCGAUUAGUUGCAAUCAGUUUUCAUUUUGUGAUAUGCACAAUCGAUUUGUCAAUCGAUUAACCUGUAAAUCAGGUUGCCACUGACUUGUUCAAUUUUCAAUUCUAAUUUAGUCAGUCGAUUUCCCAAUCGAUUAUACAAUCACAAACAUAUACUUAUCCUUACACCCUUGUUAUGAAAUCGAUUUCCCAAUCGAUUUACUCAGUGAAUAAUCAACUUUUGUUGAUUUCUUGUGUUCCAAGCAAUUUGUUCCAAGUGUGUAGGAUUGGAUUGUUGUUCCUGAAAUCUUGCUCAAUUCAAAUAUUAGAUUUAUCAUGUGGUGUAUGAACAUUGUAUGUUUGUUAAUUAUGUCAAAAC
rnacentral:lncRNA from 1 species